rnacentral:rRNA from 1 species
UACGUAGGGGGGCAAGCGUUGUCCGGAAUCAUUGGGCGUAAAGCGCGUGUAGGCGGCUCGGUAAGUCCGCUCUGAAAGUCCAGGGCUCAACCGUGGAGGGUCAUUGGAAACUGGGGGACUUGAGUGCAGAAGAGGAGAGUGGAAUUCCACGUGUAGCGGUGAAAUGCGUAGAGAUGUGGAGGAACACCAGUGGCGAAGGCGACUCUCUGGUCUGUAACUGACGCUGAGGCGCGAAAGCGUGGGGAGCAAACAGG